rnacentral:rRNA from 1 species
AGAACGAACGCUGGCGGCAGGCCUAACACAUGCAAGUCGAACGCUCUAGCAAUAGAGAGUGGCGCACGGGUGCGUAACGCGUGGGAAUCUACCCUUGACUGCGGAACAACGUUUGGAAACGAACGCUAAUACCGCAUAAUGUCUUCGGACCAAAGAUUUAUCGGUCAGGGAUGAGCCCGCGUUGGAUUAGCUAGUUGGUGAGGUAAUGGCUCACCAAGGCUCCGAUCCAUAGCUGGUCUGAGAGGAUGAUCAGCCACACUGGGACUGAGACACGGCCCAGACUCCUACGGGAGGCAGCAGUGAGGAAUAUUGGACAAUGGGGGCAACCCUGAUCCAGCCAUGCCGCGUGAGUGAUGAAGGCCUUCGGUUGUAAACUCUUUAGAUGUGACGAUGAUGACGUAACAUCAGAAAAGCUCGCUACUUCGCGCCAGCAGCCGCGGUAA